CAGGGCCAUUUUUUGAUCCCAUUGAUCCUAUUCCAUCACUGUUAUGGACUGGAUGAGUAGAACUACUGUAUUUGUGUCCUUUUGUGUGUAUAUAUUGUGAUUGUUUGUUAAUGCUAUAGCCUAGUAUGUGUCUAAAGUGUGCUUAUGGAAAUUGUAUCACAUUGUUAGCGUCUUUGUUUUCCUUAGCUCUUACAGUGUUUUAUCAAAGGAAUUAAAAGUUUCACAAACCAUCAGUUCCUGAGAGUUUUCCAUUAUUCAGCUAGGGUGCUACACAGGUGUGUUGAGUAAUUCUGUUAAAAUACAGACAAAAAUUAAUUAAAAUGUGAUAUUGCAUCAUCUUUACUUUUAAAUAUUUUAAGAGUGGUUCAUUUUGGCUUUGCCAUUCUCUCAGAUCUGGAUGAUGACCUGAGCAUUCUUCGGGCUGCCUUGUGGUCAUGCCGUCAGGCCAGAAUCCAUGACGAAGUAUUGUAAAGUACAACUGGAAAUGGGAAAAACCACAUUCACAUGCCCUGCCCCUAAAGGAAACAAUUCAUGUGAUGCAGAGCUGCCCUAUCAUGUGGUGCGCAAGUUCGCCCUGCUAAACCCCCGAGGAGCAACGCCAUUUUGAGCAAGUUCUUGGAAAUACGGCUUGCAGUCUAUAGGGCUUGUCCAGACUGCAAGAUGUUUGUAGAAAGAGAAGACACCGGCAAUUUGAGUGUGGAAUGCAGGAUUUGCAGCACCAGGAUGGGAAGAACGUACGAGUUUUGCUGGCAGUGCUUAAAGGAGUGGAAAGGGAAGAGACCCUGCGUUGAUCGAUGUGACAACGAUGGCUGUACUGACAAGGGCCUUGAUCUCUUACUGACAUGCCAAUAUAUUUCAUUUGAGAGUGUAAAA